rnacentral:rRNA from 1 species
CGCGUAGGCGGCUUGUACAGUCAGACGUGAAAUUCCUGGGCUCAACCUGGGGGCUGCGUUUGAUACGUGCGGGCUUGAGUUCGGAAGAGGGUCGUGGAAUUCCCAGUGUAGAGGUGAAAUUCGUAGAUACUGGGAAGAACACCGGUGGCGAAGGCGGCGACCUGGUCCGAUACUGACGCUGAGGCGCGAAAGCGUGGGGAGCAAACAGGAUUAGAUACCCUGGUAGUCCACGCCGUAAACGAUGUGCGCUGGAUGUUGGGUGACAUAGUCAUUCAGUGUCGUAGCUAACGCGAUAAGCGCACCGCCUGGGGAGUACGGCCGCAAGGUUGAA